GACGAACGCUGGCGGCGUGCUCAACACAUGCAAGUCGAGCGGUAAGGCCCUUUCGGGGGUACACGAGCGGCGAACGGGUGAGUAACACGUGGGUGACCUGCCCUUAGCUCUGGGAUAAGCCUGGGAAACUGGGUCUAAUACCGGAUAUGACUCCAUAACGCAUGUUGUGGGGUGGAAAGCCUUGUGCGGCUAGGGAUGGGCCCGCGGCCUAUCAGCUUGUUGGUGGGGUGAUGGCCUACCAAGGCGACGACGGGUAGCCGGCCUGAGAGGGCGACCGGCCACACUGGGACUGAGACACGGCCCAGACUCCUACGGGAGGCAGCAGUGGGGAAUCUUGCGCAAUGGGCGAAAGCCUGACGCAACGACGCCGCGUGGGGAUGACGGCCUCGG
rnacentral:rRNA from 1 species